rnacentral:rRNA from 1 species
GUGCUUAACACAUGCAAGUCGAACGGAAAGGUCUCUUCGGAGAUACUCGAGUGGCGAACGGGUGAGUAACACGUGGGCAAUCUGCCCUGCACUUCGGGAUAAGCCUGGGAAACUGGGUCUAAUACCGGAUAUGACCUCGAGGCGCAUGCCUUGUGGUGGAAAGCUUUUGCGGUGUGGGAUGGGCCCGCGGCCUAUCAGCUUGUUGGUGGGGUGAUGGCCUACCAAGGCGACGACGGGUAGCCGGCCUGAGAGGGUGUCCGGCCACACUGGGACUGAGAUACGGCCCAGACUCCUACGGGAGGCAGCAGUGGGGAAUAUUGCACAAUGGGCGCAAGCCUGAUGCAGCGACGCCGCGUGGGGGAUGACGGCCUUCGGGUUGUAAACCUCUUUCACCAUCGACGAAGGUCCGGGGUUUCUCGGAUUGACGGUAGGUGGAGAAGAAGCACCGGCCAACUACGUGCCAGCAGCCGCGGUAAUACGUAGGGUGCGAGCGUUGUCCGGAAUUACUGGGCGUAAAGAGCUCGUAGGUGGUUUGUCGCGUUGUUCGUGAAAUC